AAGAGACAGCAGCAGCCGCGGUAAUACAGAGGGUGCGAGCGUUAAUCGGAUUUACUGGGCGUAAAGCGUGCGUAGGCGGCUUUUUAAGUCGGAUGUGAAAUCCCUGAGCUUAACUUAGGAAUUGCAUUCGAUACUGGGAAGCUAGAGUAUGGGAGAGGAUGGUAGAAUUCCAGGUGUAGCGGUGAAAUGCGUAGAGAUCUGGAGGAAUACCGAUGGCGAAGGCAGCCAUCUGGCCUAAUACUGACGCUGAGGUACGAAAGCAUGGGGAGCAAACAGGAUUAGAUACCCCUGUAGUCCCUGUCUCUUAUAA
rnacentral:rRNA from 1 species